rnacentral:rRNA from 1 species
AGUGAACGCUGGCGGUAGGCCUAACACAUGCAAGUCGAACGGCAGCACAGUAAGAGCUUGCUCUUACGGGUGGCGAGUGGCGGACGGGUGAGGAAUACAUCGGAAUCUACUUUUUCGUGGGGGAUAACGUAGGGAAACUUACGCUAAUACCGCAUACGACCUACGGGUGAAAGCAGGGGAUCUUCGGACCUUGCGCGAUUGCAUGAGCCGAUGUCGGAUUAGCUAGUUGGCGGGGUAAAGGCCCACCAAGGCGACGCUCCGUAGCUGGGCUGAGAGGAUGAUCAGCCACACUGGAACUGAGCCACGGUCCAGACUCCUACGGGAGGCAGCAGUGGGGAAGAUUGGACAAUGGGCGCAAGCCUGAUCCAGCCAUACCGCGUGGGUGAAGAAGGCCUUCGGGUUGUAAAGCCCUUUUGUUGGGAAAGAAAAGCAGCAGGUUAAUACCCCGCUGUUCUGACGGUACCCAAAGAAUAAGCACCGGCUAACUUCGUG